UGCUAUUUGUGCAAGUGUCAGUUACAUUCAGUGCCUCUGGGCAGGCCCAGGGAACCUCUGGAGAUUAGAUUGAUCCCAAUGCCUAAAUUAUCUCAACACUGCACAGAUGAAAUCAACAUGCUUUUGAUUGCAUUGGGAUGAACAUUUGCCCAUCCUGGAGAAGCUGAGGCAGUGUUGUUCAGGCGAAGAGCAAUAAAACUGCUGGAGCAGAUGACUUAUGCCUGGAACUCACAAACCUGGUCUCCCCUUCAAUAUCUCAGCUCGACAGAACAGUGUGUGGGCCCUUCUCUGAUCAAGAAAGCUAGUGACUGGCUGCUCAAAGCAAUGAUCUCCAAGCAGUAUUGGUUGCCCCAUUGUGCCAUCUGACAGCUGGAUCAGCAGGGUCAGUGGCCCAAAGAGCAGCGGAGCCAGGUGGAUGCCAGGAACCCGACGACUGGUGGAAAGGAAAGGUAUAAAGAUGAAUAGGAGCUCAUCCCUGCCAGACUGAAGCACCUUUGAUACAACCUCAGGUGACUAAGCAGCAAUCAGUGUUAUUGGUCUGACCCUGUGACCCUGUUUCAGUAUCUCAACCUUUGCCCGUGGGAAGUACAGAUGCCCCUCUUGUACCAUGUCUGAGAACGGGGAGUCUUCCCCUGUUUCCUGGCCUGGCAUUCCCCCUCACUUCUCCCAGCCCUCCUCAGAGGGCACCUGCUCAGCAGGGCUUCCCCUGGCCUCUGAGCUAACAUUUCUCCUUUCUUCCAACCCAGAGAUGUCAUCA